rnacentral:rRNA from 1 species
GGAAUACCCGCUGAACUUAAGCAUAUCAAUAAGCGGAGGAAAAGAAACCAACAGGGAUUGCCCCAGUAACGGCGAGUGAAGCGGCAACAGCUCAAAUUUGAAAUCUGGCUCUCGGGCCCGAGUUGUAAUUUGUAGAGGAUGCUUUUGGUGAGGUGCCUUCCGAGUUCCCUGGAACGGGACGCCAUAGAGGGUGAGAGCCCCGUCUGGUUGGACACCGAUCCUCUGUAAAGCUCCUUCGACGAGUCGAGUAGUUUGGGAAUGCUGCUCUAAAUGGGAGGUAUAUGUCUUCUAAAGCUAAAUACCGGCCAGAGACCGAUAGCGCACAAGUAGAGUGAUCGAAAGAUGAAAAGAACUUUGAAAAGAGAGUUAAAAAGUACGUGAAAUUGUUGAAAGGGAAGCGCUUGUGACCAGACUUGGGCUUGGUUGAUCAUCCGGGGUUCUCCCCGGUGCACUCUUCCGGCUCAGGCCAGCAUCAGUUCGCCCUGGGGGAUAAAGGCUUCGGGAAUGUGGCUCUCUCCGGGGAGUGUUAUAGCCCGCUGCG